rnacentral:tRNA from 1 species
GGCUUCGUGGUGUAGUGGUCAGCACGCUCGACGCGUAACCGAGUGGGUCCGUGGUUCGAUUCCCGGCGAAGGCG